rnacentral:rRNA from 1 species
GACGAACGCUGGCGGCGUGCUUAACACAUGCAAGUCGAGCGGUAAGGCCCUUUCGGGGGUACACGAGCGGCGAACGGGUGAGUAACACGUGGGUGACCUGCCCUUAGCUCUGGGAUAAGCCUGGGAAACUGGGUCUAAUACCGGAUAUGACUCCAUGACGCAUGUUGUGGGGUGGAAAGCCUUGUGCGGCUAGGGAUGGGCCCGCGGCCUAUCAGCUUGUUGGUGGGGUGAUGGCCUACCAAGGCGACGACGGGUAGCCGGCCUGAGAGGGCGACCGGCCACACUGGGACUGAGACACGGCCCAGACUCCUACGGGAGGCAGCAGUGGGGAAUCCUGCGCAAUGGGCGAAAGCCUGACGCAGCGACGCCGCGUGGGGAUGACGGCCU